rnacentral:rRNA from 1 species
AUACAGAGGGUGCAAGCGUUAAUCGGAUUUACUGGGCGUAAAGCGCGCGUAGGUGGCUAAUUAAGUCAAAUGUGAAAUCCCCGAGCUUAACUUGGGAAUUGCAUUCGAUACUGGUUAGCUAGAGUAUGGGAGAGGAUGGUAGAAUUCCAGGUGUAGCGGAGAAAUGCGUAGAGAUCUGGAGGAAUACCGAUGGCGAAGGCAGCCAUCUGGCCUAAUACUGACACUGAGGUGCGAAAGCAUGGGGAGCAAACAGGAUUAGAUACCCUGGUAGUCCAUGCCGUAAACGAUGUCUACUAGCCGUUGGGGCCCUUGAGGCUUUAGUGGCGCAGCUAACGCGAUAAGUAGACCGCCUGGGGAGUACGGUCGCAAGACUAAAACUCAAAUGAAUUGGCGGGG